AAAAGCUUAGGAUUAAAUCUUAAACCAGUGGCCUUCAACACCACAAACAAGGGAGGACCCUUAGCUUUUG
rnacentral:tRNA from 1 species